CACUGCCUCUCGGCGAAGGGCAAACGCUUCCUCGGAUCUAACAUCUCAGUUCUGUAAUUCUUAAUCCCCAGGAGACAGAAUUUGAUUUGUUCUUCUUGGGCCACACAGUUCUCGGCGGACACAACAUCUUUGUUGGUAUGUGGUGCUGAGGAUCGAACCCGGGCCGCACGCAUGCUAGGCGAGUGCGCUACCGCUUGAGCCACAUCCCCAGCCCCAUAGACCAAGAUUUAAUCUGUGAAGCUCUGCCUUGAGAGAGCAGAAGUUGAAGAGCAAGUGGAGAAAAACUACCCUCCUUGGUGGCUGAGGCAGAGGAACCCGGAGGCUGCAGCGGCUGACAGGGCUGAGCUUGGCAGGAAACCCUGCUCUCUGGCCAAAGAAAGCAGAAGACGUCCCUGGGUCACACUGCAAAGCUGUCAGAGAGAAGCUGACAGCAGGCCCUGAAGAGGCCUAUCCUGAAGGGCUCUGACGACACUGGCAACAGGCCUCGACUCAGAAAACCAGAUGAACACUUGGAUUUCUACUGCAGGCAGGAGCUAAGACCAGCAUCGUGGAGGUGAGGACAUUGAGAACAAAGGGGAGAGCUUAGCAGGUAGGGCAGGAAACCCUGACCCUGGGGGAUGAGGGGACCCUCUCAACCGUGUCUUGUGAUGGAAAAGCAACAGUUUGACCAACAAGCUGGGCGUCAGUACCUCCACAGCCAUGGCCAUUCCUGGCUCCUGAUGCGAACCUCCCCCAGCCCCCCUCCUGGCUGCUGACUGUCCUAGGAUGGGGCUGGACACAGAUGCAGAACUUGGACUUUUAACCUCUUCAUCCUCUAUUAUGGUCAUUGCCUUCCGCAGUCUUUUGUUCAAACAAACCAGAGAUUUCCACCAAGUGACAGGCCAGGGAGGGUCUGAGAAGGGGUGAUGAGGCUGAUGAAGCUGCUUUUUGACCAUAGGAGUCAGCUACCCAGGCUGUUUCUUUGAGCCUCAGAUAAUUUAGUUGAAUGAAUUUGGACAGUUCACUGCAUCUGCCCACAGGGUUCCACUCACCUUCCAAAAUGCCUCUGAGGGCUGGGGAUAUAGCUCAGUUGGUAGAGUGCUUGCCUCACAUAUACAAGUCCCUGGGUUCAAUCCCCAGCACCACCAAAAAAUAUAUAUAUAUAGAUAUACACACACACACACACACACACACACACAUAUAUACAUAGCUUCCAAAAAUAGCACUAGCUACAGAAGCCAAAAAGGAAACUUGAAAAGUAAUAAACGACAAGGCCCCAGAGAUGUCUGCCCUUUUAGAAAAGUCUGAGUGAACUUCUCCAAGGAAAGUUUAAGCUUAAAAAAAAAACAAUUCCCAGAAACACUUUUUCCCUUUCUCAUUGAGGAAUCAGGCAAAGAAAGACACCACAGAGACAAGCACGCGCUUGUGUGAGCAGAAGGACCAGGUCUUCAUGGGAUUGGCAUUAAAAAUGUACUUUGUAUACUUGUUCCUUGAAUUGAGGUCAUCUACACACAAAGUAUUGGAACUGUUUCCCUGUCAGGGUCACCAAAAAGCUACCCGGAUAUUUACUGCUAUUUCAAGGAAACUCCACAGACCCAGUCCCAUCCUCUAGUAGCUCCCCAUCAGACAUGGCCAGUCACACUGGGAAGCCACCAGUGAGCCCUGCCCCUGCACACGUGCACACACGCACACGCACACAUGAACAGUCACACACACACACACAUACACACACACACACGUACACGGUCACAGCACCACACUGUAGUCCCUCAUCGCCUGGACCCUGCUCUCCAGGCCUCCACUGAGAACUCCCUUCCUCCUCCACACCCCUUCCUGUGCGCCCUGCUCUAGAGCCAGAUGUUCCGUGGGCAGACCCCUCUGUGGGCUGACAGGCGGUGAUUACUGUUGCCAGCCCCACAUUAGGAGAGAAUUGAAUGGGAGUGAGCCCCCUCCGCCAGGGCUCCCUACAAUAGAGCCUUUGUGAGGUGCCUCCCUGCCUUUCUUCCUCCUUCCUCACCAACCUACGUCAGGAGCAGCUCUGUCUGAGGAGAAAAGAACAAGAAGACAAAAGGAGGAUCGCAGGCCCUGAAGGAUCCACCCUGUCCUGGGCGGAGGGAGGGAGGACUGCACUUUGGAGAGAAGACUGUGUUCCUCCCCCCUCCAGCAAGGAUAAAUAACCCAGAGUGCUCCCGGGGCUACCUCAGGCAAAUGAGGCUAGUGCCUUUUGUCCAUCAGGCUCCUGCGUGCUGAACAUUGGGGGCCAUAGUGCAGAGAUCAGCAGAAGCCUGAAGCUCCCCCGCCCCCCAGAUCUUGUUUUCCCCAGAUGGUCAUGUGCAAUCCUGUGCCAGAGGCUGGGAAGGGUUAAGUUCCCAGUUCUCCAGGACAGUCUGCAGUCAGGUCCCAGGACUGGGUUGCUAGGUGGAGUGAUGCGGUGGAGAGAAGGGGAUGUGUUGGGGAACUGGUGAGACCAACAUCUGGGAUAGCCACUGCCCCUCCUCCAGGCCCAAACCGCAGACGCUGU